GCCAGUUCCCUUGCAUGUGAGUGGAGCAGUGAAACAGACUUGUUUGUGUUCCCUCCUUCCCCUUCUGUUCCCAAAUGGUGAUUCCCUACCAGGCAAAGAGAGGGAUGAUAUCUGCAAGGACAAGGCUACACUGCAUUUCCACUGCGCCCCACCUUGAACCUGUGUGCAGAGCAAUGGAUGGCUCCCAGAGAACACAGCUCCUGCUGCAAUGCACUGGCUGGGAAGAUGUUUGAGUUGCACAGUUUGACUCAGGACCAAAAUGAAGGAUGGCAUUAUUGCCCGGGGUAACCUUGAAUUAGUCAUCUCAACGUGCACAUCUCAGUGUUCAGGGGAGUGGGAUGGCACUGAUGGCUCUGCAUCAUCCUGGCACAUCAUGUCACAUCUCCCUCAGCCAAUGGCCCUAAAAUGGGGACCAGGAUAUGGGCCCACAGAGGGCAAGUUGUGACAGCAGUGAUAGCAGUGCUGUGCUGGUAUUGCUGGGAAUGGCAGGGAGCACUUCCCAGUCUCCUAUGGGUUGGAGGAUCAAACUCCUAAACAAGCCAGUGAUUCAGACCUUGAUGGUAGCAGCACACAACGUGGGGUAAGAAGAGAACCCCAGGGAGGAAACAGGAGCUUAAAGGACUACAGUAGAUGAAUGUAUUUAAAUCCUUUUAACGAGGACCAAAAAGAGUUGGCUUGGCACAGAUAAGUUUGAAUAUUAAGUAUACACCAAGAACUUGCAAGUUUCAGUCCCUCCAAACUAAUGUGAGAGGCUUACGAAACUCAAAAAUCCAGCUUUGACACAACUGCUGAAAAUGCUUUUAAAGAGAAGCCUCUAUAAGAACUUCCAAAACAAAGAGAAAGGCAGCCCAGAGUGGUAUCCUUGUUACCAGCAUCAGCAGCUAAAUGAGAGAGGCCAGGAGAGGGUGGUCAGCAGUUUGAAGGGAAUUAAAUCUUUCACUUUCUGACCACACAGUUUAGACAGAAGGAGAAGAGUUGGCUGUUUUCAGAUAUCUUUUGUAGCAUUGAGGAGCAACCAUCAAAGGGAAAGCUGUCUGCCUUGUGGGAUAAUCAUUGGGCAAGCAAGAGGAUGCAGCAGAUAAAGAAGAUGAUGCUUACCCAAAGAGGCUGAGCCACAAAGAACAAAGAUAAGUACAGCCUCACCUAUAGUGAAAAUAAAAUGGUAACAAGGGGGAAAAGCAGUGCAAAAGCCUCAGGAAAUCUGGGUUCCUCAAGUGUAUUCUUGCAGCAGUGUGCACUGCCUUAAAUUUCUUACUGAAAUUUUGCUGCUGUGAUCAAGUUUUGAUUUUGUAAUUUAUAGAAGAGGCAUUUGCAGCUCAAGUUCUGUAGUAUUUACAUAGGCAAAAUUCCCAGUGUUUUAAGGGGAUUUUUCCAUGGGUAGGUAUGGGCUCUUAAGUCUUACUUUUGACUGGGUGAGGACUUGGAAUCCACAUAAUUACCACACUGUAAAUAUUAAUAGAUCCUUCCUAAUAGGAAAGUUAUUUGAAUUUAAGAUUGCAGCUUAGUUUCUCUAAGCUCCACAUAAUUUAUUUACUUAAAAUACAGCUUUCAUUCUGCACUUACUAAUCGCCAGCUGUAAAGAUUCAAAAUGCCACACAACAUACAACUUAUUGAUGGAAAUGGCUCUGGAAGUCAUGCAAUGUUGCAUGGAAUGCAUAAACGUAUGUUUAGUGACAUUGCAAAGCCAGGAUUUGGUCCUGGGAGGCUUCAGACUGCUCCCAACUCUGCCCCAUAAUGGAGAUCCAUGAGUUGGAUCCCCUCUUCUGAAUGAUGGAGUUGUGUUUCUUGCCUUCCUUCAGGUUGGUGGUUUCAGAUCAGUGGGUGAUCUGUGAGGAUGCUCCACAAAACAAUCUUGCUCCAUUCAGCUCAAUGCCAAAAAGGAGAGUCCCAGCCAACCAAGUCACAGCUGCUCAGUAUUGCUCCACACACCCAAAUGGCAGCACAGAAUCCCGUGAGCACUCCUGGGAAAUGUGUCCAGACCCACCUGAGUUCGGGAUACAGCCUACCCUUCCUUUUCCUGCCAUGAUUUCUGGAGCAUUAUCCCAAGUUCAAGCAAGCUGUGUGUAUCUCUCUCUGUGAAGAAUGAAAGCUUUGGGGUACAUAUGGACAUUGUAGGAAGUUGGUCAGGGCUCAGGGUAUUCUGCAAGCACUGCAUCUCAGGAAGAUAUGGGAGAUUCCUGCACUGUCGAGGCUCUGCUUCCCAGCCCUGCAACCCUGGCCAGCCAGUAGCAGAGUUGAAGAUGCAUGGCUUUGCAGGGUGCCUGAAAAGUGCACAACACAAAUCUCAUCCUGAACAAAAGUUGCUUGAAUAGCCUCUUAUCUGAGAAAUGCGUAAGAAAACAACUGCUGUAAGAAGUGCCACAAAGG